GCAAUGGGAUGGUCUUGGCUCACCGCAACCCCCACCUCCCAGGGACUGUGCAGAUAUGCUGCAGUGACCACUCUGUAACAAUGCAACCCCAUCAAACUCAUGCCUGCUUUCUCUAACCCCACAAUUGGAAGGGAACUCUGAUUUGAUAGUAUCCUGGGCCCCAGUGAAUGACUCAUUGCAUAGGUCUUCUCUGUUUCUCACUCCCCUCUCACUGGUUUGACAAUCUGCUUGUUGGCACCCUUCUUCUCUCUGGGAUCUAUGAGUAAUAAACUCCUUUUGUUUUUCAUGUG